CAAAAUCGAAAAUUUCAGUUCAUUCUUGUUCUGUUUUGCAUCGUGUUAAGUCCUCUGAUUUCAUUCUUGUUAUCUUCGCGUGCUUGUGUUUGCCUCGUCGUCAGAUGUGUGAUAUCUACUUGGAUUAAAUCGUUCAAAUAACUUAUUAAGCGUGUACCCACUGGUGCAUUGAAACAAAGAAAAAAAUACAAAUCACUUAUUCAAUAUCCAUAUGAGCACAAAAACAA